rnacentral:rRNA from 1 species
GACGAACGCUGGCGGCGUGCUUAACACAUGCAAGUCGAACGAUGAAGCCUAGCUUGCUAGGUGGAUUAGUGGCGAACGGGUGGGUAAUACGUGAGUGACCUACCUUUGACUCUGGGAUAAGCCUGGGAAACUGGGUCUAAUACCGGAUACGACCAAUCUCUGCAUGGGGUGUUGGUGGAAAGCGUUAUGGAGUGGUUUUAGAUGGGCUCACGGCCUAUCAGCUUGUUGGUGAGGUAAUGGCUUACCAAGGCGACGACGGGUAGCCGGCCUGAGAGGGUGACCGGCCACACUGGGACUGAGACACGGCCCAGACUCCUACGGGAGGCAGCAGUGGGGAAUAUUGCACAAUGGGCGCAAGCCUGAUGCAGCGACGCCGCGUGAGGGAUGACGGCCUUCGGGUUGUAAACCUCUGUUAGCAUCGAAGAAGCGAAAGUGACGGUAGGUGCAGAGAAAGCGCCGGCUAACUACGUGCCAGCAGCCGCGGUAAUACGUAGGGCGCGAGCGUUGUCCGGAAUUAUUGGGCGUAAAGAGCUUGUAGGCGGUUGGUCGCGUCUGCUGUGAAGGCCGGGGCUUAACUCCGGUUUUGCAGUGGGUACGGGCUAACUAGAGUGCAGUAGGGGAGACUGGAAUUCCUGGUGUAGCGGUGGAAUGCACAGAUAUCAGGAGGAACACCGAUGGCGAAGGCAGGUCUCUGGGCUGUAACUGACGCUGAGAAGCGAAAGCAUGGGGAGCGAACAGGAUUAGAUACCCUGGUAGUCCAUGCCGUAAACGUUGGGCACUAGGUGUGGGGGACAUUCCACGUUUUCCGCGCCGUAGCUAACGCAUUAAGUGCCCCGCCUGGGGAGUACGGCCGCAAGGCUAAAACUCAAAGGAAUUGACGGGGGCCCGCACAAGCGGCGGAGCAUGCGGAUUAAUUCGAUGCAACGCGGAGAACCUUACCAAGGCUUGACAUGCAUUAGAUCGCGUCAGAGAUGGCGUUUCCCUUCGGGGCUGGUGUACAGGUGGUGCAUGGUUGUCGUCAGCUCGUGUCGUGAGAUGUUGGGUUAAGUCCCGCAACGAGCGCAACCCUCGUUCUAUGUUGCCAGCGGUUCGGCCGGGGACUCAUAGGAGACUGCCGGGGUUAACUCGGAGGAAGGUGGGGAUGACGUCAAAUCAUCAUGCCCCUUAUGUCUUGGGCUUCACGCAUGCUACAAUGGCCGGUACAGAGGGUUGCGAUACUGUGAGGUGGAGCUAAUCCCUUAAAGCCGGUCUCAGUUCGGAUUGGGGUCUGCAACUCGACCCCAUGAAGUCGGAGUCGCUAGUAAUCGCAGAUCAGCAACGCUGCGGUGAAUACGUUCCCGGGCCU